rnacentral:lncRNA from 1 species
GUGUUAAACAGCUUUAAUCGCGGUCAUUGCUGCUUCUCGGCACAGUAAGAAAUAUUGCACAUGAUCAACAUGUUUUGUUCUGGGAUGGGGGCAAGGGCAGGGGGAAUUACCUUCUUAGAAAGUACAACCCAAGUUGCGAGGGCAGAGGGAUAGGGAGAGAACCCUCCCCAUGCCUGUGGCAAAAGUGCAGGAGCCCCACCCCCAAACUAACCUGAGUCCAGCCCCUCUGGGGAAAAACGGGGUACAUGAACUCCCCCUACUCCACAGGCACCUCCCUGUGGCCCAAGGCCCACACUACCUUCCAGCUUGCAGCCCUCACAUGAGCCAUUUUGCAUAAAGUACAAGUGAAAAGCUCUGAAGGUCACACUCCCGGUUAUGAACAGGGGCUCAGUAGAGGGACUGUGCCCCUGCUUCUCCUCAGCUGCCCCCCAGCACAGGGAGGGAACUGCGGGGAGGGACUAUAUACAAGAGGAGCAGGCCUCAUUCCGCACCAAACUGGAAAGGACGAAAUGGCUUUACUGGGGAGGAGGUAACCAUCCCCCUGCCCCCCCCCCUUCCUGCCACCUACAUACUGUCCAUGUCCUGAGGGGAAGUACUGUGGGUCCUGGGAUCUUCUCAAAAGGGCCCCUCACCUGCUUGUGGCAGCUGUGGAAGGGCCUGAGAGUGGAGAGGAAGGCUGGGGGGGGCCCCUCCCAGCCAGGCUGUCCAGGUCCCGGCUCUGGGGGUGGAGGCAGUGGUGGGGCAGCCUGGACUGUGCCAGAGUCCGAGCCAGGUAAGGUGGGGUCGGGGCCUCCAGCAGGGCUAGGCGUGGAAGCAGGGGUAGCAGCAGUGCCAGCUGGGGGCGGUCCAGGGAGGGGGGGCCUCAGCUCCAGGGGGCUGCUCCGUGGGAGUGGCUGCCUGCAUGAUCUUCUGGCGCACCUCUCGGAUCUUCAGUUGCAGACAAACCUUAGACGGGAAGAUGUCUGCAUAGCGGGCCUGGAAGGCUGCUGUAGCCUGGGCUGGGGACAGAAAUUGUGGAGAGGGCAGGAUGAGAUACUAAGCAAGUCCCAUCCAAGUGACCUCCAAGAGUCUAAGACACACUCACCUGAUGGGAAGAAGCCAUGGUCCUGGAAGAGCUGCAUGACCAGGGCCCGACGCUGGUCCAGGGUGCGCCGAAGUGAGGAGUAUGGCACCUUCUCAUAUUCCAGCUCUCCUAGCACAUCCUCAGCCUCUGUACCUGCAGGGCAAAGAGAGCAGGGUCAAGACUACAAAAGCACGGGCAUGGUGCAGGCCUAUAAUCCCAGCACUUGAGAAGGUGACAUAGGAGGAUUGCCAGGAGUUUGAGGCCAGCCUGAUUUACAGAGCAAGAGCCUGUCUCAAGAAAGAAAAAAAAAAAACCACUACAAC